GGAGCAUUGCGGCGGUCUACCAUGCAGUCGAACGGUAGCACAGAGAGCUUGGUCUCGGGUGACGAGUGGGGGACGGGUGAGUAAUGUCUGGGAAACUGCCCGAUGGAGGGGGAUAACUACUGGAACGGUAGCUAAUACCGCAUAAUGUCUCAAGACCAAAGAGGGGGACCUUCGGGCCUCUUGCCAUCGCAUGUGCCCAGAUGGGAUUAUCUUUAGGUGGGUACGCUCACCUAUGCGACGAUCUAUCUGUCUAGAGGAUGACCACCCACACUGAACUGAGCACGUCCAGAUCUACGGAGGCAGCAGUGGGAAUAUUGCGCAAUUGGCGCAAGCCUGAUGCAGCCAUGCGCGUGUAUGAGAAGGCUUCGGGUUGUAAAGUACUUUCUGCGAGGAGGAGUGUUGUGGUAUAUCCCCAGCAAUUGACGUUACUCUCAGAAGAAGCACCGGCUAACUCCGUGCCAGCAGCCGCGGUAAUACGGAGGGUGCAAGCGUAAUCGGAAUUACUGGGCGUAAAGCGCACGCAGGCGGUCUGUCAAGUCGGAUGUGAAAUCCCCGGGCUCACCCUGGGAACUGCAUCCGAAACUGGGAGGCUAGAGUCUUGUAUAGGGGGGUAUAAUUCCAGGUGUAUCGGUGAAAUGCGUAUAGAUCUGGAGGAAUACCGGUGGCGAAGGCGGCCCCCUGGACAAAGACUGACGCUCAGGUGCGAAAGCGUGUGGAGCACACAGGAUUAUAUACCCUGGAGUCUACGCCGUAUACGAUGUCUACUUGUAGGUUGUGCCCUUGAGGCGUGUCUUCCGGAGCUAUCGCGUUAAUCUACCGCCUGUGGAGUACGGCCGCACGGUUAUAACUCACAUGUGUUGUCGGGGGCCCGCACAAGCGGUGGAGCAUGUGUUUUAAUUCUAUGCACGCGAGAACCUUACCUACUCUUGAGAUCUAGGGAAUUAUCAGAGAUGCUUUGGUGCCUUCUGGAACUGAGACAGUGCUGCAUGGCUGUCGUCAGCUCUGUGUGAAUGUUGGGUUAAGUCCGCAACGAGCGCAACCUUAUCCUUUGUGCCACGGUUGGUCGGAACUCAAGGAACUGCCAGUGUGAACUGGAGAAGGUGGAUACGUCAAGUCUCAUGGCCCUACGAAGGUCACACCGUGUCAUGCUACAGAGCACUUCGGGGAGUACCGGACCUUAAAUAGUCGUAGUCGGGAUUGGAGUCUGCAACUCGACUCCAUGAAGUCGGAAUCGCUAGUAAUCGUGGAUCAGAAUGCCACGGUGAAUACGUUCCCGGGCCUUGUACACACCGCCCGUCACACCAUGGGAGUGGGUUGCAAAAGAAGUAGGUAGCUUAACCUUCGGGAGGGCGCUUACCACUUUGUGAUUCAUGACUGGGGUGAAGUCGUAUCAAGAGCCGAGCCCC
rnacentral:rRNA from 1 species